rnacentral:rRNA from 1 species
GAUGAACGCUAGCGGCAGGCUUAACACAUGCAAGUCGAGGGGUAUUGGUUUUCGGACCAAGAGACCGGCGCACGGGUGCGUAACGCGUAUGCAAUCUACCUUUUGCAGAGGGAUAGCCCCAGAGAAAUUUGGAUUAAUACCUCAUAGUAUAGUACUUUGGCAUCAAGGAACUAUUAAAGUCACAACGGCAAAAGAUGAGCAUGCGUCCCAUUAGCUAGUUGGUAAGGUAACGGCUUACCAAGGCUACGAUGGGUAGGGGUUCUGAGAGGGAGAUCCCCCCACACUGGUACUGAGACACGGACCAGACUCCUACGGGAGGCAGCAGUGAGGAAUAUUGGACAAUGGGCGCAAGCCUGAUCCAGCCAUGCCGCGUGCAGGAUGACGGUCCUAUGGAUUGUAAACUGCUUUAUACAGGAAGAAACACUCCGACGUGUCGGAGCUUGACGUACUGUAAGAAUAAGGAUCGGCUAACUCCGUGCCAGCAGCCGCGGUAAAG